rnacentral:rRNA from 1 species
AUCUGCAGUCGAGCGACUGAUUAGAAGCUUGCUUCUAUGACGUUAGCGGCGGACGGGUGAGUAACACGUGGGCAACCUGCCUGUAAGACUGGGAUAACUUCGGGAAACCGAAGCUAAUACCGGAUAGGAUCUUCUCCUUCAUGGGAGAUGAUUGAAAGAUGGUUUCGGCCAUCACUUACAGAUGGGCCCGCGGUGCAUUAGCUAGUUGGUGAGGUAACGGCUCACCAAGGCAACGAUGCAUAGCCGACCUGAGAGGGUGAUCGGCCACACUGGGACUGAGACACGGCCCAGACUCCUACGGGAGGCAGCAGUAGGGAAUCUUCCGCAAUGGACGAAGGUCUGACGGAGCAACGCCGCGUGAGUGAUGAAGGCUUUCGGGUCGUAAAACUCUGUUGUUAGGGAAGAACAAGUACAAGAGUAACUGCUUGUACCUUGACGGUACCUAACCAGAAAGCCACGGCUAACUACGUGCCAGCAGCCGCGGUAAUACGUAGGUGGCAAGCGUUAUCCGGAAUUAUUGGGCGUAAAGCGCGCGCAGGCGGUUUCUUAAGUCUGAUGUGAAAGCCCACGGCUCAACCGUGGAGGGUCAUUGGAAACUGGGGAACUUGAGUGCAGAAGAGAAAAGCGGAAUUCCACGUGUAGCGGUGAAAUGCGUAGAGAUGUGGAGGAACACCAGUGGCGAAGGCGGCUUUUUGGUCUGUAACUGACGCUGAGGCGCGAAAGCGUGGGGAGCAAACAGGAUUAGAUACCCUGGUAGUCCACGCCGUAAACGAUGAGUGCUAAGUGUUAGAGGGUUUCCCGCCCUUUAGUGCUGCAGCUAACGCAUUAAGCACUCCGCCUGGGGAGUACGG